UGCUAUUUGAUGUGAUUGUAUAUAAAUUAAUUAAUAAAAUAUUUAUUUGAUAAUUUUUAUCAUAAGCUUGUACAUCUUCUAUAUCGAACGUCUGUGUUAUGAUUAAAGUCCUUAGGACUAUUUUAAAUCAAUAAAGAAAAAUUUAUCGUUUAGUCCUUAAAUGAGUUCGCAAUCAAAUGAUAUGCUAUUACUAGGAUGAUAGACAUAUCAAGUGUAGGUCGUUGUGUAUCAUAUAUCAUUGGUCGUCCUCUUAACUAAGGAGCGUGGA
rnacentral:lncRNA from 1 species